rnacentral:rRNA from 1 species
UACGUAGGGUGCAAGCGUUGUCCGGAAUUAUUGGGCGUAAAGAGCUCGUAGGCGGUUUGUUGCGUCGGCUGUGAAAUCCCGAGGCUCAACCUCGGGUCUGCAGUCGAUACGAGCAAACUAGAGUGUUGCAGGGGAGACUGGAAUUCCUGGUGUAGCGGUGAAAUGCGCAGAUAUCAGGAGGAACACCGGUGGCGAAGGCGGGUCUCUGGGCAACAACUGACGGCUGAGGAGCGAAAGCCCAGGGGAGCAAACGGG